rnacentral:rRNA from 1 species
UGGGGAAUAUUGGGCAAUGGGCGCAAGCCUGACCCAGCAACGCCGCGUGAAGGAUGAAGGCCCUCGGGUUGUAAACUUCUUUUGUCGGGGACGAAGCAAGUGACGGUACCUGACGAAUAAGCCACGGCUAACUACGUGCCAGCAGCCGCGGUAAUACGUAGGUGGCAAGCGUUAUCCGGAUUUACUGGGUGUAAAGGGCGUGUAGGCGGGGAAGCAAGUCAGAUGUGAAAAGUUAUGGGCUCAACCCAUAACCUGCAUUUAGAAACUGUUUUUCUUGAGUGCUGGAGAGGCAAUCGGAAUUCCGUGUGUAGCGGUGAAAUGCGUAGAUAUACGGAGGAACACCAGUGGCGAAGGCGGCUUACUGGACGGUAACUGACGUUGAGGCUCGAAAGCGUGGGGAGCAAACAGGAUUAGAUACC